rnacentral:rRNA from 1 species
CCCUUAGAGUUUGAUCCUGGCUCAGAGUGAACGCUGGCGGCAGGCCUAACACAUGCAAGUCGAGCGGCAGCGCGGGUAGCAAUACCUGGCGGCGAGCGGCGGACGGGUGAGGAAUACAUCGGAAUCUGCCUUGUUGUGGGGGAUAACGUAGGGAAACUUACGCUAAUACCGCAUAAGACCGAAAGGUGAAAGUGGGGGAUCGCAAGACCUCACGCGACAAGAUGAGCCGAUGUCGGAUUAGCUAGUUGGCGGGGUAAUGGCCCACCAAGGCGACGAUCCGUAGCUGGUCUGAGAGGAUGAUCAGCCACACUGGAACUGAGACACGGUCCAGACUCCUACGGGAGGCAGCAGUGGGGAAUAUUGGACAAUGGGCGCAAGCCUGAUCCAGCCAUGCCGCGUGGGUGAAGAAGGCCUUCGGGUUGUAAAGCCCUUUUGUUCGGGACGAAAUCGUACGGGUGAAUACCCCGUGCGGAUGACGGUACCGAAAGAAUAAGCACCGGCUAACUUCGUGCAGCAGCCGCGGUAAUACGAAGGGUGCAAGCGUUACUCGGAAUUACUGGGCGUAAAGCGUGCGUAGGCGGUUUGUUAAGUCCGCUGUGAAAGCCCUGGGCUCAACCUGGGAAUUGCAGUGGAUACUGGCAAGCUAGAGUGCGGUAGAGGAUGGUGGAAUUCCCGGUGUAGCGGUGAAAUGCGUAGAGAUCGGGAGGAACACCCGUGGCGAAGGCGGCCAUCUGGACCAGCACUGACGCUGAGGCACGAAAGCGUGGGGAGCAAACAGAUUAGAUACCCUGGUAGUCCACGCCCUAAACGAUGCGAACUGGACGUUGGGUGGACUUAGCCACUCAGUGUCGAAGCUACGCGUUAAGUCGCCCCUGGGGAGUACGGUCGCAGACUGAAACUCAA